rnacentral:lncRNA from 10 species
CUUGGACAGACUGCAAGACGUGCCUGUGCUCAUUUUCAUCAUGAUCUGGAAUCUUAAGAGAUGUAAGAACAUACUAGGAAGUGGAGUGUGAUGUGAAUCUAGAAGGGAACCCCAAGGGUGAGGGAUCUAAGACAAUGGCUGCUGGGAAGGUAAGACUAGAAGAAACCAUACUCUGUGUCCUGUUCUCUCUUGCAGAUUAACCAUGUUCAGUCGUGGGUUCUACACUGAGUCCUCUCAUGUCUUCCCAUCAGAGUAGUAGCAGUGACUAAAAAGGCCCCCUGUGGAAAUUGUGCCUCCCUGGCCCUCCACCUCUGCAUCUGUGUUCUGGUAUCCUGGAGGAGAAUGCCAGUCAUCAGCCAUCAGCCAUGGCCAGUCUUUGGCCUCAAGACUGGAACAAUACCAUCAGCUUUCUUGUGUGUCCAGCUUGCCAACAGCAGAUCUGGGGACUUCUCAGCCUCCAUUAUCAUGUGAGUUGCUUCUUCAUCAUAUAUGAUAUAUCCUGUUGCUUCUGGUUCUCGGAGAACCCUAACUGAUACAAAUUUUGGCUGAGAUUUUUGAUGGGAUGGUCCGCAGGGCCUCAUGGCUCACAGGCUGCUUUAUAGAUGAAUAGCUACAAAGGAAAUCUCGAAUCCUUCACAUUAAUUACCUGCCCUGGGAUACAGACACUAUCUGUCUCCUCAUGGAGUCAGAGUUCUUGGUUCUCAGAAACAUAUAAUUUGUAUAUUCAUUAAAAACACUAUUUAUACAUUCUGAUGGGAAAAAGUCCAAAUAAUAGAAACACUGACAGUAAUUACACUUAGUUUUGGAGCUAAUUUUAUUGAAAAAUUGUCCUUAAAUUGUUUCUUGACUUUGCCCUUAAUCAUGACGUGUUAAACACUCACAGGAAAUCAGCAUAUGGCUCUUUAAUGAACCAGCAGUGCAUGACCAAGAAGUGUGGAGGUUGGUGUUUAUUUUGAGAUCAAAGGGAGAAAAAUGAAGCCCAGAGGUAUUUGUUUUCAGAAAAAAAAAUCACACUCUUGUGUGUGAGGGUGACGGGAAUCUUCUUAAUUUAAGUUUUCUCCUGACUGUCCUAUUUACUCCCACCACUAAUCUGAAUCUAUAAAUAGGGUUUAAAUAUUGCCCCUCUGGCUGUUUACUACACAGUCAAUUAUUUACUUUUAAUUAAGAGAUUUCCAAAGAGCAUCCUUCCAUUUCACCCUUGCAGCCAAACAACAGAGGGUGUGGCCUUUCCACAAAGAAUGACUUUCUGUAACUCACAUCCAAGAAAAGACACUGAAACAGGAAGAGACUAAGGAGCAGCUCCUCUCUGACUUGAAGGAAAGUCAGGCUUAAUGAUGAUAAUUUUUUCCCCCAGAACUUAAAAAAAAGCUGUAUGCUCACUACGUGAUGCAGGAUGAGGCCCGAAUCUGGCACAAUUCCUGGUCCCAGGUCUGUUCCGUUCGAUCCUUGGUUGCUUCCUGCUUGCCUCCGUCCUUCACCUCCCCAAGAGUUCGGCAAAACCCUGGUUGUCGAAAUGCUGUAGUGUGGAUAACACGCCAUCUAGUGGUUAACAGGACAAUUGCAAAAAUAGCUUCACAGGUCAUAUGUCAAACUAUUCCAAAAUUGGGCUUCAGACCUCAGUUAUCUAUGCCACUGGUCCUCAGGGUUUGCUUCACAUGAAAAUCACCUGAGGAGCCUUUAAAAAUCUGAUGUCCAGGCCGUACCCCAUCACAAUUAAAUCAGAAUCUCUGGAUGUAGGGCCCAGACAUCAGCGUUUUUAAAAAUCCCCAGGUGAUUCCAAAGGGCAGCCAAGCUUGAGAACUGGUGACCUUUGCAACCAAAACAAUGGAUUAAAAGGUAGAAACACUUUAUGCAGUGAUUAUAAAUCACAUGUAUCAUAAAAAACAUUUCCUGUAUAAAGCAUAUAUAGAGGUUGCUUUUUUCCUUCUUCUUCAUACUUGGAUUUUAUUGAUUUUGUUUAGACAGGGUCUCACUCUGUCCCCCAGGCUGGAGUGCAGUGGUGAGAUCUCGGCUCACUGCAACCUCUGCUUCCUGGGUCCAAGCGAUUCUUGUG